AAAAAGAAGCCAAAAUCUGACUUUUUACUUUUAGUUUUUUCCCCCAAAAUUUGUUUCCCUUUCUCUAAGCCAUCACUCUUCUUCUCUCUCUCCAACCUCAUCGGCCAUCCUCACCAGCCAUCAAACGACAUCGCUUCAUCCUCCAAAGAAUCCGAUACUCUCUCUUCUCUUUCCCCUCCCCAAACCCACUCCUCCUUCAUGGCCGCCGCCGACCCCUUCAACCCUAUCCCUAAUCCCAAAAUCUCCGCCUACUACCAGACCAGAGCCGCCCACACCGCCGUCGUCACUGAAAUAUUUUUGGGUAGGGGGCCCCUUAAGUCUUGCGCCUAUCCAUCUUUUUUAUUUUAUCCCUAAUUGGAAUUUGGAAUUCCCUAAAGAGCUCUCUCUUCUGUGUUCCUUUUCUUCGAUUGCAGAAUAACGUUAAGAAACGUUUUAGAUAAGCUUGGAGGAGGAGAAUACAAAGGCCUUUCUUAUACUCAGUGAGAAUUAUACUCACAUUAAAGGAGGAUGGUACUAGCAGAGAUGAAGAGGACAACUCAAACAAUAACAAGGAGGUCGAAAACAGCUUGGAGGGUGACUCAAAGGAAGACUAAUAUAGAUCUUGUGAUAAUUCUAGUUGUUUAAGUUUAAAACAAGGUUUAAUUUCAGGAUUUCUUUGUAUAUUUUAUAUUUUAAAGUUUGAACUUAUAUGAAUUUUUAUCGUUUGAUGGAUCAAUUUCUAGUAAUUAUUGUACUA